UACGAAGGGUGCAAACGUUGCUCGGAAUCAUUGGGCGUAAAGCGCACGUAGGCGGCUUGCCAAGUCGGACGUGAAAUCCCUCAGCUCAACUGAGGACGUGCAUCCGAAACUGGCGAGCUUGAGUACCGAAGAGGAUCGCGGAAUUCCCGGUGUAGAGGUGAAAUUCGUAGAUAUCGGGAGGAACACCAGUGGCGAAGGCGGCGAUCUGGGCAGAUACUGACGCUGAGGUGCGAAAGCGUGGGGAGCAAACAGG
rnacentral:rRNA from 1 species